GGCACUGUGGCUGAGGGGUAAAGCGAUUGGCUUCUGAACCCAGGGUCCCGGGUUCAAAUCCUGGUGAAGACU
rnacentral:tRNA from 1 species